UACGUAGGGCGCAAGCGUUGUCCGGAAUUAUUGGGCGUAAAGAGCUCGUAGGUGGUUUGUCGCGUUGUUCGUGAAAACCGGGGGCUUAACCCUCGGCGUGCGGGCGAUACGGGCAGACUUGAGUACUGCAGGGGAGACUGGAAUUCCUGGUGUAGCGGUGGAAUGCGCAGAUAUCAGGAGGAACACCGGUGGCGAAGGCGGGUCUCUGGGCAGUAACUGACGCUGAGGAGCGAAAGCGUGGGGGAGCGAACAGG
rnacentral:rRNA from 1 species